rnacentral:rRNA from 1 species
AGUUUGAUUCUGGCUCUGUGAUUGAACGCUGGCGGGAUGCUUACACAUGCAAGUCGAACGGCAGCACGGACUUCGGUCUGGUGGCGAGUGGCGAACGGGUGAGUAAUGUAUCGGAACGUGCUCUAGAAGUGGGGAUAACUACGCGAAAGCGUAGCUAAUACCGCCAUUGCCUUCGGGGAAAGCGGGGACCUUCGGGCAGCCUGCACCACAGAUGCGGUCGAUAUCGAUUAGCUGGACAGGUAACGGCUCACCAAGGCGACGAUCCGUAGUUGGUUUGAGAGGACGACCAGCCACACCGGGACUGAGAAUGGGCCCAGACUACUGGAGGCAGCAGUGGGGAAUUUGGACAACGGGGAAACCCUGAUCCAGCCAUCCCGCGUGUGCGAUGCAGAAGGCCUCAAGCUGUAAAGCACUUUUGGCAGGAAAGAAACGGCACGGGAUAAGUCACCCUGCGCAACUGACGGCACUACAGAAUAAGCACCGGCUAACUACGUGCCAGCAGCCGCGGUAAUACGUAGGUGCAAGUGUUAAUCGGAAUUACCAUGCAAGCGCGCAGGCGGUUCGGAAAGAAAGAUGUGAAAUCCCAGAGCUUAACUUUGAACGACAACUGCCGAGCUAGAGUGUGUCAGAGGGAGGUGGAAUUCGCGUGUAGCAGUGAAAUGCGUAGAUAUGCGGAGGAACACCGAUGGCGAAGGCAGCCUCCUGGGAUAACACUGACGCUCAUGCACGAAAGCGUGGGGAGCAAACAGAUUAGAUACCCCGGUAGUCCACGCCCUAAACGAUGUCAACUAGCUGUUGGGGCCUUCGGGCCUGGUAGCGCGGUGCUAACGCGUGAAGUUGACCGCUCGUAGAGUACGGUCGCAAGAUUAAACUCAAAGGAAUUGACGGGGACCCACAAAGCUGUGGAUGAUGCAGAUUAAUUCGAUGCAACGCGAAAACCUUACCUACCCUUACGACAUGUCUGAAUCCCGAAGAGAUUUGGGAGUGCUCGCAAGAGAACCGGAACACAGGUGCUGCAUGGCUGUCGUCAGCUCGUGUCGUGAGAUGCUGUUGUCCCGCAACGAGCAACCCUUUGUCAUUAGUUGCUACGAAAGGGCACUCUAAUGAGACUGCCGGUGACAAACCGAGGAAGGUGGGGAUGACGUCAAGUCCAUGGCCCUUGCGGGUGGGCUUCACACGUCAUACAAUGGUCGGGGAUGAGGGUCGCCAACCCGGCGAGGGUGGAGCCAAUCCCAGAAACCCAACGAUCGGUGUCCGACGCAGUCUGCAACCUGACUGCGGUCGGAAUCGCUAGUAAUCGCGGAUCAGCAUGUCGCGGUGAAUACGUUCCCGGGUCUUGUACACACCGCCCGUCACACCAGCGGAGUGGGUUUUACCAGAAGUAGUUAGCCUAACCGUAAGGAGGGCGAUUACCACGGUAGGAUUCAUGACUGGGUGAAGUCGUAACAAGGUAA